rnacentral:rRNA from 1 species
GCUUGCUUCUCUUGAGAGCGGCGGACGGGUGAGUAAUGCCUAGGAAUCUGCCUGGUAGUGGGGGAUAACGCUCGGAAACGGACGCUAAUACCGCAUACGUCCUACGGGAGAAAGCAGGGGACCUUCGGGCCUUGCGCUAUCAGAUGAGCCUAGGUCGGAUUAGCUAGUUGGUGAGGUAAUGGCUCACCAAGGCGACGAUCCGUAACUGGUCUGAGAGGAUGAUCAGUCACACUGGAACUGAGACACGGUCCAGACUCCUACGGGAGGCAGCAGUGGGGAAUAUUGGACAAUGGGCGAAAGCCUGAUCCAGCCAUGCCGCGUGUGUGAAGAAGGUCUUCGGAUUGUAAAGCACUUUAAGUUGGGAGGAAGGGCAGUAAAUUAAUACUUUGCUGUUUUGACGUUACCGACAGAAUAAGCACCGGCUAACUCUGUGCCAGCAGCCGCGGUAAUACAGAGGGUGCAAGCGUUAAUCGGAAUUACUGGGCGUAAAGCGCGCGUAGGUGGUUUGUUAAGUUGGAUGUG